AAAUAGACAAAUGAGAAUUAAUG
rnacentral:snRNA from 1 species